UACGGAGGGUGCAACCGUUGCUCGGAAUCAUUGGGCGUAAAGCGCACGUAGGCGGUCUUCUAAGUCGGAUGUGAAAGCCCCAGGCUCAACCUGGGAAGUGCAUACGAAACUGGAAGGCUGGAGUACGGAAGAGGGUCUCGGAAUUCCCGGUGUAGAGGUGAAAUUCGUAGAUAUCGGGAGGAACACCAGUGGCGAAGGCGGAGACCUGGGCCGAUACUGACGCUGAGGUGCGAAAGCGUGGGGAGCAAACAGG
rnacentral:rRNA from 1 species